rnacentral:rRNA from 1 species
CCCUUAGAUGUUCUGGGCCGCACGCGCGCUACACUGAUGCAUUCAACGAGCCUAUCCUUGACCGACAGGUCCGGGUAAUCUUUGAAUCUGCAUCGUGACGGGGAUAGAUUAUUGCAAUUAUUAAUCUUCAACGAGGAAUGCCUAGUAGGCGCAAGUCAUCAACUUGCGUUGAUUACGUCCCUGCCCUUUGUACACACCGCCCGUCGCUACUACCGAUUGAAUGGUUUAGUGAGGCCUUCGGAUCCGCGAUUUUAUUGUGGAGAAGUUGGACAAACUCAGUCAUUUAGAGGAAGUAAAAGUCGUAACA